AGUUCUUGCUCUUUCUUAUC
rnacentral:miRNA from 1 species